AACCCAGAACGGAUAGCUCCCUCCUGGAAAAGUAGAGACGAGGUUUCACCGUGUUAGCCAGGAUGGUGUCGAUAUCCUGACCUCCUGAUCCACCCGCCAUGGCUUCCCAAAGUGCUGGGAUUACAGGCAUGAGCCACCACGCCCGGCCAAUAUAUUGGUUUCUUUAUGAAAAUUAUACUGGAUCUGUUACAGAUGAUAGUGUCGAACCAAGUGGGACAAAGAAAGAUCUGAAUGACAAAGAGAAAAAAGAUGAAGAAGAAACUCCUGCACCUAUAUAUAGGGCCAAGUCAAUUCUGGACAGCUGGGUAUGGGGCAAGCAACCAGCUUUUGUGUGGUCCUCUGAGCCCCAGUGAGAGUUUCCUGAGGUACCUCACCCUUCCACAAGACAACAGGCUUGCCAUUGAUCUGCAACAAACGGCGGUUGUUGUCAUGGCCCAUUUAGACCGUCUGGCUACACCCUGUAGAUGCCUCCUCUGUGUAGCUCUCCGACGUCUCAUAAGAGUCAUUUUUUACAGGUCAGAACUGUAGAAAUAAUGAGAAAGUGACACUUGUACGCAUAGCUGAUUUGGAGAACCAUAAUAACGAUGGAGGCUUCUGGACUGUGAUUGACGGGAAAGUGUAUGAUAUAAAGGACUUCCAGACACAGUCGUUAACAGAAAAUAGUAUUCUUGCUCAGUUUGCAGGGGAAGACCCAGUGGUAGCUUUGGAAGCUGCUUUGCAGUUUGAAGACACCCGGGAAUCCAUGCACGCAUUU
rnacentral:lncRNA from 1 species